rnacentral:rRNA from 1 species
ACGGCUCAGUAACACGUGGAUAACGUGCCCUUAAGUGGGGGAUAAUCUCGGGAAACUGAGGAUAAUACCCCAUAGACCAUGGGAUCUGGAAUGACCUGUGGUUCAAAGUUCCGGCGCUUAAGGAUCGGUCUGUGGCCUAUCAGGCAGUAGUGGGUGUAAUGUACCCCCUAGCCGAUUACGGGUAUGGGCCUUGAGAGAGGGAGCCCAGAGUUGGAUUCUGAGACACGAAUCCAGGCCCUACGGGGCGCAGCAGUCGCGAAAACUUCACAAUGGGCGCAAGCCCGAUGAGGGAAUUCCUAGUGCUAGCUCUUUUUGAGUUAGCUUUUCUUCAGCGUAGAUAACUGGAGGAAUAAGGGCUGGGUAAGACGGGUGCCAGCCGCCGCGGUAAUACCCGCAGCCCGAGUGGUGGUCGAUUUUAUUGAGUCUAAAACGUUCGUAGCCGGUCUGAUAAAUCCUUGGGUAAAUCGGGAAGCUCAACUUUCCGAAUUCCGAGGAGACUGUUAGACUUGGGAUCGGGAGAGGUAAGAGGUACUUCAGGGGUAGGGGUAAAAUCCUGUAAUCCUUGGAGGACCACCGGUGGCGAAGGCGUCUUACUAGAACGAAUCCGACGGUGAGGGACGAAGCCCUAGGUCGCAAACGGGAUUAGAUACCCCGGUAGUCUAGGGUGUAAACGCUGCAGACUUGGUGUUGGAGGCCCUUCGGGGGCAUCCAGUGCCGGAGAAAAGUUGUUAAGUCUGCUACUUGGGGAGUACGUCCGCAAGGAUGAAACUUAAAGGAAUUGGCGGGGGAGCACA